UCCUUCCUCCAUCCCAACUGCUCCUAGUUGUGCUCUUUCCUUUCCAACUAGUGGUGGCACCUGUUGAUCCGGGAAUGGUUGCUCCUACUUCUGCCUAGUCUGGACGAUGUCGUCCUCCUGGGAUUCGUGCGUCCGUUAUUGCCCGUGUGCGCAGUGCCAGCAUGCGUCUUCCUCCUGCGGAUUGUUCAUUGGUGACGGCAGGCGCUGUUGUGCAUGGUCAGUUGCCUGGGGUUCAUUCAGGGUGGUGUUUCCGCUCUGUGUCUCGCCGGCCGCUCCAUUCUCGCUGGCCUGGUGGGUUUACUUACCCUUGUGUACUUGCAGUUCCAUUCAGAUUGUUCUCCUACUUGUUUAUUUGGAGUGCGGUCCUCUUAUUUGGUUACUUGAUUUUGUAGGUGGCCAGCAUUCCGGCUCGGACCAGUUUCUUAAUGGAGAUCUUGAUAGACGCCGUCGUGAGAUUUCUUUAGGGAAGCGGCCUGUUGAUUGCACUGUUGGUAAGUGUGUUGGGUUCUUGCUACAUAUGGGAAUGCCUCUGAUUGUUUCUGUGCGUUUCUUCUUGCUGUUUUGAAUAUUGUGUCUAACUUCUUGCUUUCUUUUUGUAAGUUCCACCACUACUGUUGGUUCUUCUUCCGUGUUUGAUGGCCUUGUGUUUGCUGCUCGGGCCGUCAUUGCGCGAACUGGUGAGUUCUUGCUUCUUUUCUCUGUUUAUUUUCUGUCUAUUGUGUUGUUUCUCUUGGCUAUUCUAAGAUGGCUAUAGUUUAUUUGCUUUCUACUGCUUUUGUGGUGGUUGGUUUUCAUUUUUCUUUCUUUGUGAGCUGCUUGGGUGGGUAUUCCCGUCUGGUCCAGCUGAUGUGCUCAGUUGUUUUCCGAUCUAGCUGUUCAGGCAUAUGAGCUUCGGUCGGUUUCUAAUGUGUUGCAUCCAAUACUUUCUUGCACCUUCCUUGGUCGUGCACAUGGUUGACAGAUCAAUUGGUCGUCCUUCUACUCUUCCUGUUGGUGUCCAUCUUGACUGUUAUUUAGUCGGUGCUCCGUCUGUGGUAACCGUCCAAGAGUGGUGCCUUUGCGUGCGGCUGGUGCCUUUGGUCGGCCUACUCCUCUUGGUAAGUUCACCUUUUUUUACUGUGCCUGUGUCGUUGCUGUUACUGGUAAUUUCCUUCUGGAUCCGAUUCUAAUUUGUAACAUGUUUGGUAUUUGAGUGAUGCCUACUCCUGUUAUGGAAUACUUUCAGGUUGUGUGCGGCCGGCGUAAGCGGGCGUUGAUGCGGUCGUACUGGUCGGGUCGGAAAAGAGGUGUUUUUUUCUCCUCCCAUCGUCUUGUUGUGUAGUUUUGUCUUUCAGUUGCUGCUAUGUAUGGAUUUCAUUUUUUUCUCCUUUGCAGUAUGCGGGAUGCAACCUCCCUUUCCAAAGGAUUAUAUUCAUUUGCUUAAGGGUAGGUACAUACGAUUUGUGGUUUGCAUAUAUAUAGUACAUCUGGAAUGUGUUUCCAAUGUCGUCUAUCGUCUUUCAGCCACUUCUAGGGGCCGUUCGUACUAUUGCGGCCCGGAUUUGUGUUGCCAGAGGUGCGGGGCUUUAUUUUGGUUUCGUGAAGGAUCUGUACACCAUGCUGAAGCAACUUCUCACUCUCCUAUUUACACGGGAUGUUGUUGGGCGGGCAUGAUUUCGCUGCCGAAGUUUGGUGACUAGCCUACUCCUUUGGACAGGCUGAUGCGCUUUGAUGGGGAUGCGGUUUCUUCCCAGUUCAUGUGAUUAAUACGAGAGUACAAUUCUAUGUUCUAUUUUACAUCUUUGGGUGCACAGGUUGAUCGUAGUAUCAAUGUUGGAGGUGCUCCAUACGUUUUCAAGAUUAAUGGGGUGGUCUACCAUCGUAUUGGUUCGUUGUUUCCGGUGGAGGGUGCAAUCCCCAAGUUUGUGCAACUGUACAUGGUGGAUUCUGCCGAUGAGGUGGACUGUAGGCUGAAUGUGUUUGAGGGAGAAGAAACUGCCUCACUUGAGCCUGAUCCUGAGAUUGUUUCUUCUCUGAUAAACAUGCUCAAUGUGUUGGGGAACGUAGCAUGCAAUUUCAAAAAACUUCCUACGAUCACGCAAGAUCUAUCUAGGAGAUGAAUAGCAACGAGAGGGGGAGAGUGUGUCCACGUACCCUCAUAGACCGAAAGCGGAAGCAUUAGGUUAACGCGGUUGAUGUAGUUUAAUGUCUUCAUGAUCCAACCGAUCCAAGUAUCGAACGUACGUCACGUCUCUGUUCUGCACACGUUCAGCUCGAUGACGUCCCUCAAACUCUUGAUCCAGCAGAGGGUCGAGGGAGAGUUCCGUGAGCACGACGGCGUGGUGACGGUGAUGGUGAUGUGAUCCGCACAGGGCUUCGCCUAAGCACUAUGACGCCAUGAUCGGAGGAGUAAACUAUGGAGGGGGGCACCGCACACAGCUAAGAGAACAAUUGAUGUGCUAUGGGGUGCCCCCUGCCCCCGUAUAUAAAGGAGGGGAGGAGGAGGAGGCCGGCCAGGAGGCGCGUGCCAUGGGGGGAGUCCUACUAGGAGUAGGAUCCCCCCUUUUCCUUUCUUCACCGGAGGGAAAAGGAAGGAGAGGGAGAGGGAGAGGAAAGAGGGGCCGCCCCCUCCUCCUUGUCCUAUUCAGACUCCCUAGGAGAGGGGCGCGCGCC
rnacentral:lncRNA from 1 species